rnacentral:rRNA from 1 species
UCUCCAGACUCCUACGGGAGGCAGCAGUGGGGGAUAUUGCACAAUGGGGGAAACCCUGAUGCAGCGACGCCGCGUGGGUGAAGAAGCGCCUCGGCGCGUAAAGCCCUAUCGGCAGGGAAGAAGAAAUGACGGUACCUGAAUAAGAAGCACCGGCUAAAUACGUGCCAGCCGCCGCGGUAAUACGUAUGGUGCAAGCGUUAUCCGGAUUUACUGGGUGUAAAGGGGGCGCAGACGGCAGCGCAAGCCAGGAGUGAAAGCCCGGGGCCCAACCCCGGGACUGCUCUUGGAACUGCGCGGCUGGAGUGCAGGAGGGGCAGGCGGAAUUCCUGGUGUAGCGGUGAAAUGCGUAGAUAUCAGGAGGAACACCGGUGGCGAAGGCGGCCUGCUGGACUGCGACUGACGUUGAGGCCCGAAAGCGUGGGGAGCAAACAGGAUUAGAUACCCUAGUA